rnacentral:lncRNA from 7 species
UUCUUUUUUUUUGUUUUCUAUUUUUCUAGUUUUAUUUUCAAUUUCCAAAUUCAAGCAAGAUUUAAAUUUUGAUUUUGAACUCAAAAUGCAACAAAAAAUAAAAUAUCGAGUAUGAUGCACACAUUUAAAUUUUAUUUAGCAUUUAUUUAAAAGGAACAUGUCUUAUGCACAUUGUAGAAUAAAUUCUAAUAUUAUUUCUUCAAAUAACAGAAGAU